GGCCGUUCUUGGGUGACAUACCCUGGAAUUGGGCUCCCUCCUCUCUGGUUCUGGGUGUGUCACCUGAGAACUGCU
rfam:Myotis brandtii contig259621, whole genome shotgun sequence.